UGGGCUGGGGCUCAGUAGUAGAGCACUUACUUGCCUAGCAAGUGUGAGGUACUGGGUUCAAUUCUCAGCACCACAU
rnacentral:tRNA from 1 species